rnacentral:lncRNA from 1 species
UUUUUACAUGACGGGGAAGACAAAUGACACAUGCUCCUUUUCAGUGGCAAAACAAUUUCACUCCUGAAGAUAAGUGUUGGAAACAUGCACAUCUUCUUAUUUGACACCUGACCAAGCGAUUGGAUUGCUUCCAGUAUUACAAGGACCAAAGGCCAUGAAACAUCAGUGUGAAUCCCAUAUCACAUCAAUUUGGAUUUUCCCUUUCAUAUCUGCAUUGUGUAAAGUUGGAUCAGAUUGCAGUAUUUAUAUGUAAUUUAGCAAGAGUUCUACCAAGCCAUUAGCUAUAGAAUCCAAAUUUAUUUCUUAGGAAAAUAUUGAUAUUAUUUAGGAGUGAAAGACAUACCUGAGCCCACAAAUUAUUUUUGGAAUUUAAAUUGAUUAAUAUCAGUAGCAAGUUAGGAAAGUCAUGUAUGUGGCUAAUCAGUAGUUAGGAAGGUCAUAUCUCCAUAAGCGAUAGGUAACUACUUCAUAAUUCACAACAUGAAACCAUUUCAGACUUGUAAACACAUUUCGUAAAUCAAAAACCAUCUAAAAACAUUUCAGAAUUUGUUGGCGUGCCCAUAUGGAUUUAAAUAAAAUGAUGAUUCAAAUAAAAAAAUAAAAAAACUAACAAAGUAUGGUUGACUACAAAAUAGCUUGAAUAAAUAUGAAUCAAAGAAGAACGAACCUGCAUCAACCCUCUAAAACAUCUCUAUAGACAAUAUUCUUGGCGCUUUUUCCUGAU